GCGAGAUUAGUAUAGUGGCAGUACACUUGCUUCCCAAGCAAGGAGCACCGGUCCGAUCCCGGUAUCUCGCACUA
rnacentral:tRNA from 3 species